CAGGGUCACACCUGGGGACACUGCUGGGCUCAGGGGGCUCAGGGUCACACCUGGGGACACUGCUGGGCUCAGGGGGUGCAGGGGACACUACUGGGCUCAGGGGCUCAGGGUCACACCUGAUGGCACCACUGGGCUCAGGGUCACACCUGGGGACACUGCUGACAAUCUCUGCCUGUUCCUCCAGCUCAGCACCUGCCUUCAGGUUGAGUUCCUCAAGUCCUGCUGAUUCACCCUUGUGCAAGUCACUUAACUGUUCUGUGCCUGCUGCCCAGCCCUGCAGGGUGCCCAGGCUGCAGCAGGGUGUUGUAAGCCUUCAUCCGCAGGAAUCCAGGGUGUUUUGAGAUGUGGGAGCUGUUAACAGAACACCGGGUGUCAUUAUCCAUUAUCAGAUAGUUUAUAAUAACAUACACACACCUCCUGGGCUGCUGGGUCCCUUCUGUGGUGUCUUGCUGCAGCUCUGAUUGCUUUGGGGUUGUUUUGUUAUUUCUAGAGAGAGAUUUUUCCCCAGUUUCGAGCCAUUCCCCAGUGAGUUGUCCCCUCUCAGACUGCUCCUAGAGCAGCCCCAUCCCCUGUGCUGAGGCAGACUCCAGAAUAUGUGAUGACUUUGCAGAGCUGCUUAACACCGAGUGAAGACACAACUUAAUCAGCUUCAGAAGCCACCACUCAUCAGCUGAGACACCUUAACUGGCUGCAUGCACGUUCCUGAAGCAAUUCCUGCUUUUAUAGCUCAUCCCAGCAUGGAUUCCCUCACCAAGGGAGUAACAUCUUCCUUCCAGUCAAAGACUUCCCACCUAACAAGGAACAACGAAUUCACUCCAGAUUUAUUCCAGAAUCUGCAGCCUCAGUCACACAAACCCGCCAGGGAAGCAAAGGAAACUCCUUCCAGCCCUGCAGAGCCACACCACACACCGAGCUCCUCAGCUGCCUGCCUGAUGAUGCAAGGAGUGAAUAAGCACGAAUAAAGACACAGAAACUGGGUGUUGUUUGUAGAAGUGAGGAGCAGAGCCCUCCGCCCAGCGCUGGGGAUACCGGAGCUCUUGCACAACUCGGCUCUCAGCCUGCUGCUCCUUUUUAUGCAUCUCUGUCCCUGUGGGCACUUUUCCACCAGGAGCACUGGGGAAGUUUUCCUUCCUCCCCAGCUGGAGGAGGAAGCAGCUCCUGGUCUGUGAGCAGCAGGGCUGGGAUGCCAGAGUGGGAUUCCUGCGUCAGGAUUUCCCUCAGACUCCGCACACCGUGAGCCUGUGCUGGCCUGCCAGGCUGGCUCACGGGCAGCUAAUUAGCGCCCUAAUUUCUAAGAAUUGGAAGAGGAUCGUUAAUUAAAAUUGGUUUGAAAGCUUCCAGUUUUGUAGAUGUUGAGUAAUUAAAACAACCAAUGGGCUCCUUUGUGUUUUCAUCUGAGAGCUCCCAGAUGGAGGCUGGAGACUCACCCUGGAGGGGAAUCAGUCCUGACCAGGCUGGGAAUAAGGGAGAAG
rnacentral:lncRNA from 1 species